rnacentral:tRNA from 1 species
GUCUCCGUGGCGCAAUCGGCUAGCGCGUUCGGCUGUUAACCGAAAGGUUGGUGGUUCGAGCCCACCUGGGGACG